GCAUAUCAAUAAGCGGAGGAAAAGAAACCAACAGGGAUUGCCUCAGUAACGGCGAGUGAAGCGGCAAAAGCUCAAAUUUGAAAUCUGGCUCUUUCAGGGUCCGAGUUGUAAUUUGUAGAAGAUGUUUCGGGUGUGGCUCCGGUUUAAGUUCUUUGGAAUAUUACAUCAUAGAGGGUGAGAAUCCCGUAUGUGACCGGCAGCCUUCGUCCAUGUGAAACUCUUUCGACGAGUCGAGUUGUUUGGGAAUGCAGCUCAAAAUGGGAGGUAUAUUUCUUCUAAAGCUAAAUAUUGGCCAGAGACCGAUAGCGCACAAGUAGAGUGAUCGAAAGAUGAAAAGCACUUUGGAAAGAGAGUUAAACAGUACGUGAAAUUGUUGAAAGGGAAGCGCUUGCAACCAGACUUGCACGCAGUUGAUCAUCCGGUGUUCUCACCGGGGCACUCUGCUGCGUUCAGGCCAGCAUCGGUUUUGGUGGUUGGAUAAAGGCCUUGGGAAUGUGGCUUCCUUCGGGGAGUGUUAUAGCCCUCGGUGCAAUGCAGCCUACCGGGACCGAGGACCGCGCUUCGGCUAGGAUGCUGGCGUAAUGGUUGUAAGCGACCCGUCUUGAAACACGGACCAAGGAGUCUAACAUCUAUGCGAGUGUUUGGGUGUCAAACCCAUACGCGUAAUGAAAGUGAACGGAGGUGAGAACCCUUAAGGGUGCAUCAUCGACCGGUCCUGAUGUCUUCGGAUGGAUCUGAGUAAGAGCAUAGCUGUUGGGACCCGAAAGAUGGUGAACUAUGCGUGAAUAGGGUGAAGCCAGAGGAAACUCUGGUGGAGGCUCGCAGCGGUUCUGACGUGCAAAUCGAUCGUCAAAUUUGCGCAUAGGGGCGAAAGACUUAUCGAACCAUCUAGUAGCUGGUUCCUGCCGAAGUC
rnacentral:rRNA from 1 species